AGCGAACGCUGGCGGCAGGCCUAACACAUGCAAGUCGAACGGAUCCUUCGGGAUUAGUGGCGGACGGGUGAGUAACACGUGGGAACGUGCCCUUUGGUUCGGAACAACUCAGGGAAACUUGAGCUAAUACCGGAUGUGCCCUUCGGGGGAAAGAUUUAUCGCCAUUGGAGCGGCCCGCGUCUGAUUAGCUAGUUGGUGAGGUAAAGGCUCACCAAGGCGACGAUCAGUAGCUGGUCUGAGAGGAUGAUCAGCCACAUUGGGACUGAGACACGGCCCAAACUCCUACGGGAGGCAGCAGUGGGGAAUUUUGCGCAAUGGGCGAAAGCCUGACGCAGCCAUGCCGCGUGAAUGAUGAAGGUCUUAGGAUUGUAAAAUUCUCUCACCGGGGACGAUAAUGACGGUACCCGGAGAAGAAGCCCCGGCUAACUUCGUGCCAGCCGCCGCGGUAA
rnacentral:rRNA from 1 species